rnacentral:rRNA from 1 species
GGAGCUUGCUCCUCCGGAUUAGUGGCGAACGGGUGAGUAAUACGUGAGCAAUGUGCCCUUGACUCUGGGAUAAGCGCUGGAAACGGCGUCUAAUACCGGAUACGACCCUCGGAGGCAUCUCCUGUGGGUGGAAAGAACUUCGGUCAAGGAUCAGCUCACGGCCUAUCAGCUAGUUGGUGAGGUAACGGCUCACCAAGGCGACGACGGGUAGCCGGCCUGAGAGGGUGACCGGCCACACUGGGACUGAGACACGGCCCAGACUCCUACGGGAGGCAGCAGUGGGGAAUAUUGCACAAUGGGCGCAAGCCUGAUGCAGCAACGCCGCGUGAGGGACGACGGCCUUCGGGUUGUAAACCUCUUUUAGCAGGGAAGAAGCGAAAGUGACGGUACCUGCAGAAAAAGCACCGGCUAACUACGUGCCAGCAGCCGCGGUAAUACGUAGGGUGCAAGCGUUGUCCGGAAUUAUUGGGCGUAAAGAGCUCGUAGGCGGUUUGUCACGUCUGCUGUGAAAACCCGAGGCUCAACCUCGGGCUUGCAGUGGGUACGGGCAGACUAGAGUGCGGUAGGGGAGAUUGGAAUUCCUGGUGUAGCGGUGGAAUGCGCAGAUAUCAGGAGGAACACCGAUGGCGAAGGCAGAUCUCUGGGCCGUAACUGACGCUGAGGAGCGAAAGCAUGGGGAGCAAACAGGCUUAGAUACCCUGGUAGUCCAUGCCGUAAA